UGGCUCAGAACGAACGCUGGCGGCAGGCCUAACACAUGCAAGUCGAGCGCGCCCUUCGGGGUGAGCGGCGGACGGGUUAGUAACGCGUGGGAACGUACCCUUUGGUAGGGAAUAGCCACUGGAAACGGUGAGUAAUACCCUAUGAGCCCUUCGGGGGAAAGAUUUAUCGCCAAAGGAUCGGCCCGCGUUAGAUUAGGUAGUUGGUGGGGUAAUGGCCUACCAAGCCUACGAUCUAUAGCUGGUUUUAGAGGAUGAUCAGCAACACUGGGACUGAGACACGGCCCAGACUCCUACGGGAGGCAGCAGUGGGGAAUCUUGGACAAUGGGGGCAACCCUGAUCCCAGCCAUGCCGCGUGAGUGAAGAAGGCCUUAGGGUCGUAAAGCUCUUUCGCCUGUGAAGAUAAUGACGGUAGCAGGUAAAGAAACCCCGGCUAACUCCGUGCCAGCAGCCGC
rnacentral:rRNA from 1 species